rnacentral:rRNA from 1 species
AUGAACGCUGGCGGCGUGCCUAAUACAUGCAAGUCGAACGCGAGCAGCAAUGCUCGAGUGGCGAACGGGUGAGUAAUACAUAAGUAACCUGCCCUAGACAGGGGGAUAACUGCUGGAAACGGCAGCUAAGACCGCAUAGGUAUGGACACUGCAUGGUGACCAUAUUAAAAGUGCCAAGGCACUGGUAGAGGAUGGACUUAUGGCGCAUUAGCUGGUUGGUGAGGUAAUGGCUCACCAAGGCGACGAUGCGUAGCCGACCUGAGAGGGUGACCGGCCACACUGGGACUGAGACACGGCCCAGACUCCUACGGGAGGCAGCAGUAGGGAAUUUUCGGCAAUGGGGGGAACCCUGACCGAGCAACGCCGCGUGAAGGAAGAAGGAAUUCGUUCUGUAAACUUCUGUUAUAAAGGAAGAACGGCGGAUAUAGGGAAUGAUAUCCGAGUGACGGUACUUUAUGAGAAAGCCACGGCUAACUACGUGCCAGCAGCCGCGGUAAUACGUAGGUGGCGAGCGUUAUCCGGAAUUAUUGGGCGUAAAGAGGGAGCAGGCGGCGGCAGAGGUCUGUGGUGAAAGACUGAAGCUUAACUUCAGUAAGCCAUAGAAACCGGGCUGCUAGAGUGCAGGAGAGGAUCGUGGAAUUCCAUGUGUAGCGGUGAAAUGCGUAGAUAUAUGGAGGAACACCAGUGGCGAAGGCGACGGUCUGGCCUGUAACUGACGCUCAUUCCCGAAAGCGUGGGGAGCAAAUAGGAUUAGAUACCCUAGUAGUCCACGCCGUAAACGAUGAGUACUAAGUGUUGGGAGUCAAAUUUCAGUGCUGCAGUUAACGCAAUAAGUACUCCGCCUGAGUAGUACGUUCGCAAGAAUGAAACUCAAAGGAAUUGACGGGGGCCCGCACAAGCGGUGGAGCAUGUGGUUUAAUUCGAAGCAACGCGAAGAACCUUACCAAGUCUUGACAUCCUUCUGACCGGUACUUAAUCGUACCUUCUCUUCGGAGCAGGAGUGACAGGUGGUGCAUGGUUGUCGUCAGCUCGUGUCGUGAGAUGUUGGGUUAAGUCCCGCAACGAGCGCAACCCUUGUCGCUAGUUACCAUCAUUAAGUUGGGGACUCUAGCGAGACUGCCAGUGACAAGCUGGAGGAAGGCGGGGAUGACGUCAAAUCAUCAUGCCCCUUAUGACCUGGGCUACACACGUGCUACAAUGGAUGGAGCAGAGGGAAGCGAAGCCGCGAGGUGAAGCAAAACCCAUAAAACCAUUCUCAGUUCGGAUUGUAGUCUGCAACUCGACUACAUGAAGUUGGAAUCGCUAGUAAUCGCGAAUCAGCAUGUCGCGGUGAAUACGUUCUCGGGCCUUGUACACACCGCCCGUCACACCAUGAGAGUUGAUAACACCCGAAGCCGGUGGCCUAACCGCAAGGAGGGAGCUGUCUAAGGUGGGAUUGAUGAUUGGGGUG